rnacentral:rRNA from 1 species
UAGGGAAUAUUGGACAAUGGGCGAAAGCCUGAUCCAGCCAUGCCGCGUGGGGGAUGAAGGCCUUCGGGUCGUAAACCCCUUUUCUGAGAGAAGAAUUGUCAGAAGAGGAAAUGCUUUUGGCUUGACGGUAUCUCAGGAAUAAGCAACGGCCAACUCCGUGCCAGCAGCCGCGGUAAUACGGAGGUUGCAAGCGUUGUUCGGAAUUACUGGGCGUAAAGGGAGCGCAGGCGGCCAGGUCAGUCGGAAGUGGAAGCCCGGGGCUUAACCCCGGAAGUGCUUUGGAUACUGCCUGGCUUGAGUACGUGAGAGGAGAGCGGAAUUCCAGGUGUAGCGGUGAAAUGCGUAGAUAUCUGGAGGAACAUCGGUGGCGAAAGCGGCUCUCUGGCACGUUACUGACGCUGAGGCUCGAAAGCGUGGGGAGCGAACG